AUACUUACCUGGCAGGGGAGAUACCAUGAUUGAGCAGGUGGUUUUCCCAGCGUGAGGCUCACCCAUUGCCUUGGGGUGUGUUGACCCCUGAGAUUUCCCCCAAUGCAGGAAACUUGACUGCGUCAUUUGUGGCAGUGGGAGAUGCGUUUGUGCUCUCUCCUG